GUGCGUUUUCGUGAAAUUCGUUAACGGAUAUUAUAGUACGAUAUUAAAAUGUACGCUAAUCACAGUGACUAUAUAAUCGAAACACGAAUCGCAAUUUUAUUUCAUUUUUCCCGAAUCCGUCAACAAACAUUGACAGACAUCAAUAAUACACCUUGCGGGUACUAACAAUGAAUUUCGGGAGUUACGCAUUGCUGCUAUACAAACAUGGCAAUGAACAAAUUAUAGAAUUUUUAACACCGAUCGAAAACUCGUAUUUCAUUGUCCCGGGAAGUUUGAGAAA